UACGGAGGGUGCGAGCGUUGUCCGGAAUCAUUGGGCGUAAAGGGCGCGUAGGUGGCCUGCUAAGUCGAACGUGAAAUCCCUGGGCUCAACCCAGGAACUGCGUCCGAUACUGGUUGGCUUGAAUCCGGGAGAGGGAUGUGGAAUUCCAGGUGUAGCGGUGAAAUGCGUAGAUAUCUGGAGGAACACCGGUGGCGAAGGCGACAUCCUGGACCGGUAUUGACGCUGAGGCGCGAAAGCCAGGGGAGCAAACGGG
rnacentral:rRNA from 1 species